UUUCUCCACUCCGUUGAUGUUGGGCUCGAUCACAUGACUGGCCUUAGCCACAGGGACAGGAGAAGAUUGAAGUGGGCAGAGAUUUUGAAUAUGCUUACAUAGUGUGGCUUGGUUUCCUGUGCUCCAUCACUGCCCCAGGAAGAGCUUGCCCUUGGGAGAUGCUGGUCCCAGCAUGGAGUUAUGCAGAGCAGCCCUGAACCUGGAGCCAAGCCCAGGAAAGCCCAGCAGAACCACAGCUGUGUCACAGGACCAAACACUUGGUGCUGCAUGUCAGCGAGCCUGGAGCUACUUGUUACCCAUCAUCAUCUCAGCAGACACCUGAUGGGCAGAUGGAGUGACCAAGGGAGGAUAUGAUGCUCAAAGCUGGAACAACCAUACUUCAAUCAUGCUAGGAGACAUCAC
rnacentral:lncRNA from 1 species